rnacentral:tRNA from 1 species
GGAUGAAAUCAUUUGAUAUUUCUUUUACAAAGAAACUUUGCUUUAGCCAUUCU